GGGUCUAUGCUUACAAAACUAUGUCAUGAAGAGAAAUGUUGACCUAUACAUCAUGCUCAAUAGAAUGACACUGAGGCCC